GGGCAUUCUUUUAUGCGGGUCCUUUGCCAUUAUAAGUUGUGGGUUUAGGUCGCGCCACUUAAUCUAGCUCAUAUGGUUUGGCCUAGUCAACCCUUGAUGCCAGUCUCUUGUCUGGCGUGGGGCAUACGGUGGAGAUCACUUAACGUCCCGACCCAUGUUUGGUACCUCAUCCUAACAUUGCCCCUCUCUCCCUUAGCUAGCUUAUUUUAAUGAGGUGAUGAAGUAGUUGUGUUCUUGCAUGUUGCCCCCUCUCGGGCCUUUAGCUUGUGCUUGGGCUAAAUGCCUUGGAGACGACCGUUAAGGCUUGUAUCCUAUUCGGAUCUAUACCUUAUUGAUUUGAAGUUUAAGGUUUUAUGUCCUCUUCGGGCUUUUACUUUACGCUUUGGACAAUUUUGAAGGCUUAUGCCCUCGAUUGUUCUUUAAAGUUUUGGCGUUUAAGGCUACUACCCGAUUUGGGCUUGGAACUUAUUCCUUUCUUAGGUUUUUGUCCUCCUUGCUCUUUUACCUUAUAUCUUAAAUUAUGUGUC
rnacentral:lncRNA from 1 species